UGGAUUUUGUGCUGAAAGAUCUAAACGAGCUCUUAUAUAUGAAUUUAUGCCCAAUGGAUCUCUUGAUAAGUACAUAUUCUCUCAGGAAGUUAGCACUACAAUAAGCAUCAAGAAAAUGUAUGAGAUUUCAGUUGGAAUAGCUCGUGGCAUUGAAUACCUGCAUCGAGGUUGUAAUAUGCAAAUCUUGCAUUUUGAUAUCAAACCUCACAAUAUCCUUCUUGAUGAAAAUUUCAUUCCAAAGGUUUCAGAUUUUGGACUAGCAAAAUUAUAUCCAACAGAUAAUAGUAUUGUGUCUCUCACAGCAGCAAGAGGAACAAUAGGUUACAUGGCUCCAGAGUUGAUCUAUAAAAGAAUUGGAUGCAUCUCUUACAAAGCUGAUGUCUAUAGUUUUGGAAAGUUAUUGAUGGAAAUGGCUGGAAGAAGGAAGAAUUUCAAUGCAAUCGAGGAGCAUUCGAGCCAAAAAUAUUAUCCUUCAUGGGUUUAUGACCAA
rnacentral:misc_RNA from 1 species